UUGAUCCUACGGGGCACAGCAGUCGAGAAUCAUUCACAAUGGGGGAAACCCUGAUGGUGCGACGCCGCGUGGGGGAAUGAAGGUCUUCGGAUUGUAAACCCCUGUCAUGUGGGAGCAAAUUAAAAAGAUAGUACCACAAGAGGAAGAGACGGCUAACUCUGUGCCAGCAGCCGCGGUAAUACAGAGGUCUCAAGCGUUGUUCGGAAUCACCGGGCGUAAAGCGUGCGCAGGCUGUUUCGUAAGUCGUGUGUGAGAGGCGCGGGCUCAACCCGCGGACGGCACAUGAUACUGCGAGACUAGAGUAA
rnacentral:rRNA from 1 species